CGGUCUCCAUAAAAAUGAAAUGGGAUAAAAAAAAAUAUUUACAUGUAAGAUAAUAUAUUAAAUAGACAAUUAAAUUAAUAUUGUACAUGACAAGACAAGAUAGGAUGCUCCGGCACCGAAUGUAGCACUCCUUACUCGACUACACUGUAGACGGGUGAGUAAUGUUACAAUAGUUAACUCAUAAAAAGACUAUAAAUUAAAUAAUAAAUAUCGAAUCAAUCAAUGCUCACUCCUAGGAAGAAGAUAAAUUUAGUAUGGCAUCCAACAUGAGAUCAGUCUGCUAAUAGGUGGUCUGUCAUGUUCUUGCACAAAUUAGAGUAUGCAAUGUGUUGUGAAUACAUUUCAAGACGUCAUGGGGAACUGUAAGAAGGAUCCACAUAAGACAUAACUAUCUCCAAGGCUCUUUGUCUUCUUAAUUUCUAUAUCUCCCACGCUGGAACGCCAACCCAAAACCCAGUAUCAAAGAAGUAGAGUUGAUGGCAGUACACGAGUUGGUCCAUAUUACAGGCUCCGGUUGGGCCCCUGAUUACAACUUACAAGCAAUUAACGAACUAGAGCCUGCAAACUUUAGCAGGUUACAUAGCUAAUAAUUACAGCCUCAUUGAUGUAAGAUAUUCCUUCUUCCUUCCCCUAAUCCUGAUGGUAGAACAUUGCUACUAGGUGGAUUUUCUGAGAAUGAAAGCACACAUAAACACAUGCAGCUGAGAAGCCAAUUAGGAUUCAGAUACUGCAUAGAGUCAUAGAGACAAGUUAACAACUGCUGAUAUGGUUGGAUCUGUUUGAUCUUCUGGUGGAGUUCAUUAAUGACAUAAUCCAUCUCCCAAAAACUAAUAUUCUUGUUUUCAAGGAAAUCAAUUCUCAUCAAGAACACAACAAUUUCAAGAAGCCAAACAAAUUAGUGGCACACACAUUCUCUAUGACUCAAAGGAGUUAGAAGAUUCAAAAAGUACUGGGCAUCACCUAAAACAAGAAUAUUUAAAAUGAUUCAACCUUUAAUCACUUCAACUUCUCCCCUACUUCUGGAGCAUCUUCAAUUUUCAUGAAAUAGGUAUGGGGAAAGGUUUAAAAACAGCAUUUAGAAAUAUUUAUGCAGCUAAUACAUGCAGGAAGCAAUGCCAUUUGCUACUGGGAAAUGAUAAGAAAAUUCAAAGAUACAGAUGACAGCAUCAAGGUUGCGUUAAUGUACAAUACUUGUAUUAUAUCUGCCUUUUAGGAUAAAUCCUCUUAAGUCCAUUUGGGCUGCUUUGAAAAUGGAAGACAGCUACCAAUAAUCAUAAAUAAGCAUGGAACUUGAUGAUAAACUUCAAGUAGAAAUCAAGUAACUAAAUAAAAAAGAGUCAAAAAAGAAAAAAAAAAGAAAAAAGAAAACUUAACCAACCAAGUUCAGCUCACCUCUACCGGGCUCCAAAAAAUGGCUGUAUUUAGGGUUUUUCUGCUUCUUUGAGCUCAAAAAUUCUCAACUAAAGAUCUCCAUGGAAAUGCCCGGUCGAAGAUCCAAUUACACACUUGUUAGCCAGUAUCCUGACGAGCCUCUAGCGGCUGCGCCACCACUGCCGUACUACGAUUCUUCUAUUUCCAGUGAUUCCAAGAGUAGCAAACUAAAGCUGGAUAGGGGCUUCGAUUGGGAAUCUAGCGGCGAUUACAGAAUAAAUCAGCAAGCGAAUAGUAAUCGGAUUGGUAAUUUGAACAUGUAUUCGUCGAUCGGGUUGCAAAGGCAAUCGAGCGGGAGUAGUUUUGGUGAGAGUUCGUUGUCUGGAGAGUAUUAUGCCCCAACGUUGUCAACGACUGGGGGGAAUGAGAUUGAGGCAUAUGGAUACAUGCACGAGGAUGGGAAUUUUAUGAGAGCGAGAGCAGUGGAUGCGGCGGUGAUUUCGGGGACGGGUACUGGAUCGUCUGGGAAGAGCUGGGCGCAACAGACGGAGGAGAGUUACCAGUUGCAGUUGGCGUUGGCCUUGAGGUUGUCGUCCGAGGCGACUUGUGCCGAUGAUCCGAAUUUUUUGGAUCCGGUACCAGAUGAAUCCACGUUGCGGUCAACUAGCUGCAACUCGCCUGAGGCCCUGUCUCAUCGGUUUUGGGUGAGUGGUUGCUUAUCAUACUUUGACAAAAUUCCGGAUGGAUUUUACCAAAUUCAUGGAAUGGAUCCAUAUGUGUGGACUGUAUGCUCGGAUUUGCAAGAGAAUGGUCGUAUUCCAUCUAUUGAGUCAUUAAAGUCUGUUGAUCCUAGUGCUGAUUCUUCAUUGGAAGUGGUUUUAAUUGAUCGACGCAGUGAUCCAAGCUUGAAGGAACUCCAAAAUAGGGUCCACAGCAUUUCUUGCAGCUGUAUCACUACAAAAGAGGUAGUUGAUCAGCUGGCCAAGCUUGUCUGCAAUCGCAUGGGAGGUUCAACCAAUGUGGCGGAAGAUGAUUUCAUUUCUAUGUGGAGGGAAUGCAGUGAUGAGUUAAAAGAUUGCUUGGGAUCUGUUGUGGUUCCAAUAGGCAGCCUAUCGGUUGGUCUAUGCAGACAUCGAGCAUUAUUAUUCAAGGUGCUUGCUGACACAAUUGAUUUGCCAUGUCGAAUUGCAAGAGGCUGCAAAUACUGUAAAAAAGAUGAUGCUUCCUCAUGUCUUGUGCGAUUUGGCCUCGACAGGGAAUAUCUCGUUGAUUUGGUAGGGAAGCCUGGUUCUUUAUGCGCGCCUGAUUCAUUGCUCAAUGGUCCUUCUUCCAUCUCAAUUUCUUCACCAUUGCGCUUUCCCCGAAUGAAAUCAGCUGAACCUACCAUUGAUUUCAGGUCUUUGGCCAAACAAUACUUCUCAGAUUGCCAAUCUCUUAAUCUUGUAUUUGUUGACGCUUCAGCAGCUGUUAUUCCGGCUACUGUUCUUGAUGAUGAAGCUCCAGAAUUCUCUAUGUAUCCUAAGCAAAUUGAGAGUACAGGUGCAGAUAAAAAUAACCUUGUGCAAGUCCCAACCAACAGCAGUGAAGUUUCUCAGUUACCUCUGCCAAUGAAAGUUGCUCGAACAAGUGCCCAAGAUAGAAAUGCUCAAAAUUUUAAGUUUUAUAAUCCUUUACAGAAUAUUAAGCAAGCGACAAAUAUGAUGAAAGAUCCCAUCCAUUUAAAGCAUAUCCCAACUAUGGGGCAUAGAGAUGUGCAACCACUUUUAUCAUUGUCUGAUCAGAGAGUGGAUACUAGUAAAAAUUCAAGAUUUUCUGAAGGUAGUCAACUGGUUUCUAGUAAAACAAGUAAUGAGCUGUCACUUGAUGUGGAGGAUUUGGACAUUCCAUGGAGUGAUCUUGUUUUGAAAGAGAGAAUUGGAGCAGGCUCUUUUGGAACUGUUCACCGUGCUGAUUGGCAUGGCUCGGAGGUUGCUGUGAAAAUUCUCAUGGAGCAAGAUUUUGAUGCUGAACGCUUCAAGGAAUUUUUGAGGGAGGUAUGUGUUGGCCAGAAUUUUGAGAUUUCUCUUCUUGGUUUUGAUUUGAUUGUUUAGUUUCUUGUCCUUUGUUUGUUAGGUUGCAAUAAUGAAACGCCUACGACAUCCAAACAUAGUUCUUUUCAUGGGUGCGGUUACUCAGCCCCCAAAGUUAUCCAUAGUAACAGAAUAUUUAUCAAGGUUCUUCAUUGUCCCCGUGGAAAUACCCCUGCUUCCUUUAUUUCUUUUAUAAUGUGGAAUGUGUGGGAAAUAUUUGCUUAUAAUUUUUGAAAUAUUUCUGUAUAUUCUUAUGUGCAUAUAUUUAUUUCUUUAAGAAGUUAAAAAAAAACUGAAUUCUUGGGUUUUCACUGUAGAGGUAGCUUGUAUAGGCUCUUGCAUAAGUCUGGUGCAAGAGAGCUAUUGGAUGAAAGGCGCCGGUUGAGUAUGGCCUAUGAUGUGGCAAAGGGUAUGAAUUAUCUCCACAAACGCAAUCCUCCCAUAGUUCAUAGAGAUUUAAAAUCUCCAAAUCUAUUGGUUGACAAAAAAUAUACAGUGAAGGUUUGUGAUUUUGGGCUCUCUCGUCUCAAAGCAAACACAUUUCUUUCAUCCAAGUCAGCAGCGGGGACUGUAAGUGCUGUUAUAAUUAACGACCAGUUGAAUGUGUCUUUGGUUUAAGGUGGUGGACACUGUUUAUUACAAUAUAAGCUUAAUCAUAAUAAUAAUAAUCUCUUCUGCUUUAUUAGCCUGAGUGGAUGGCACCAGA
rnacentral:misc_RNA from 1 species